rnacentral:snRNA from 1 species
UGACUUUGGCGUCUCUUCAAUUGUGGAUAAAUCUUUCACCGUUUACUAAAGAUUUCCAUGGGGAGGCACAAUACAAUGAGUCUUGCCUCAUUUUUUUCAGCUCUGUCUUCGGACAGAGU